rnacentral:lncRNA from 1 species
GGUACUUUGCUUCCUAUAUAUGAAAAUAUAAAGACUUUGCUUCCUAUGACCGCAGGUAAAAAACAUGACAACAGUAGCUGCAGCUGGUGUCAUCAUGUUUAAUAACAACAAAACAGCUGAUUAGUUAGAUGUAAAAUCAUAGGAAGAAAUUGAAAGGCUAGUUAUACUAGCAAAAUAGAAAAGAGUAUAUGAGAAAGUACAAAGAAAAGAAAGCAAAUAUAUUGCGGUACAAAUUUGAUGAUGGAUAAGCUUAACCUAGAAAAGAAAAGAAAGGAAUAAAAGGCAAGCAAAGAAAGAGAGUUUUUAACAACAGAAAAUAGACUGAAAACUACUAAAAAUGAAGUUGUAAUAAAGUUGCAAAGACAAAUUAAAUUUCAAAAAAAAGUAUUACAGCAAAAAUUUCCAGAAAAGUGGUUACAAUUAGGCGAAAAAGGCCAAGGUGAAAAAUAUAAAAAAUUUAGAGGUUUAGAGGCAUUAAAAACCAACCUGCUAUCAAUUUUUAAAUUUUUAAGACGCUCCAGAACAACAAGCAAUUACAAUAAAAUUUUCAGUAAUCAGACAGAAAAAAGAGAGAUGUUGAUAGUAAAAAAAAUUUAGAUUAGAGAGUGACAAUAGAAAUUUAAAAAAAUAGGAACAGGUGCAUCAAAGGAAGGGCCUUCCAAAGCUUUUAGGAAAAAGAAUUAAACAUAAGACAGUAAAUAAAAAAGACAAAGAUAAAUGGUAUUCAGGGCUAUUAGUAAGUGUUUUAGAUAAAAAUGAAUUUGAUGAGGAAUGUGAGCUUGAGGUAAUUUAUUAUGGAUUUGAAGAUGAAUAUGAUAUUUAGUUGGUCAAAGACUGGAGGAUGAAAUGUGUUGUGAUUGAAGGAAAAGCUGAUGGGUUUGUGGAGAGCGAAGUUAGAAAAAAGCAAAAAUUUUGUCAUCUGGAGUGGUGUUGGCACACCUACAAUUCUUUAUAUGUGUACUUGUCUUCUGUUGGAACUCUGCAGUCGUGUUGAAAUACCGACUACAUGCAUAUGGGAAGUAGUUCGUAUUAAUUGCAGGACCAUUUGCUCAAACAUCAAUAUGGAACAAAUAUGUCAUGAGCUGCAUCAGUUUUUUUUCCAAUCGGCCUGUUGCCUAAGCAUUAACAAGCAAGGAAGUUGUAAUGGUUACAAAAGCAAUUAUAAAUUUGGAAACAACCUUUGCGUUUUUUUCUGUAAUAAGUACAGAUAAUGGAACUGAAUUAUGAGAAGACUGUAUUGUCAGUAAUUUGUUGAAUCAGGAAAGCAACUCUUCUCAAUCCAUAAAAACUUUGCAAACAAGUUUGAAAAAUCAGAUUGAAGUAUUGGCACCAGUUGGGUUACUUUUACUUAAAGAGCUACCAAAUCAAACUGACCUAAAAUGAAGGCAGCCUGAGAUAAUCAAACCGAGUGAUAAAACAAUUCAUCAUAUCAACCCUUUGGGUGAAUUUGAAAUGAGUGUACUUAAAGUUCUUAAUGUUCAACAAAAUAUGUCAAAUAAAAUAAUAUACAUUAAACGUCCAAUAUAGAUUAAAAAGGAAAUUCGAAUAUCUAGAAGAUACUACUCUAAUGAUAAAUUUACAAAAAUUGUUGACGAAAUAACCAUAAAAUAAACCAAUGGAAUACUUAUAAAUUGCGAAGAAUUAAUAGCAAGUUCUCUGAAUAUGGAAUAGCGUUCCGUGGACCAAGACUAUAGAACACUUCA